rnacentral:lncRNA from 9 species
AUGCCAGCCCCUUUUCCCCCAAGAAACCCCCUCCAUGCUGAAGUGGCUGAACCUGGAGGAGCUGCCAGCCUGGACCACCUGCUGUAUCAGAACCAGCCCACCUCCAGAGCUGUGAAAGAGCUGAAUUACCAUUCUUGGCAACUUCUUUCUUCAAGGCAGAUCUGACAGCUCAUGUCCAAAUGGCACGUACACCCUUGGUGGUAUGCUGGAUCUCUUCGUUCACCAAGUACCGUGUGCCGUGCCCUGUGUUAGGGGCUGGGGAUGUGGAAAUGACUGAUACAGUCGUAGGUCUCAGCGUUGAAUAGAUGACCUCGUAGAAUGAGGGCCUUGAUAGAGAUGAAGCUUGGGAGCCACGGAGAUGCACAGAAGGUGGUGGGACAAGGCUGUCCAGACAGGUUUCCAGGGAGGCAACCCUGGGCUAGAUUGUAAAGGGGGGCUCAGGGCUGUGUUGAGGAGAAGUGGGUAGAGGAUGUCCACACUCAAGGUCAUAGCAAGAGCAGAGAGAGGGAGGGGGUGGUACCCAGGAAACUGCCCAGGGGCCAGUGAGGGACUUGCAAGGUGGAAAGGCCAAAGAUGAAGACUGGGCCGCAGUGAGAACACACAGGGCUCCAGAGUGAGGAAGUGGGAGUCCAGGAGGGAGGAGAGAGGAUCAAAAAUAGGAUUUCAAUCUUAGAGAACAUAAAGUUUUCAUGCUUAUAGGAACCAUCAAAGACCAGUCUCCUUCAGCCACCUCAAUUUACAGACAAAUAAAUAAAGCCCAGAAAGCUUAGCUGGUUUGCUCAAGGCACAUAGAUAAACUAGGACUAAAGAUUAAUGUCCCAGCUUCUGUUUCCUGAGUGAAGAAAACUAAGACCCAGCAAAGGAGAGUGACUCGCUCCAGUCACCCAAUCUACUGGGUUCCUAGCCUGGUGCUCUUUCCUCCACCCUCCCAGAAAAUCCGUAUGUUGAAAGCAAAUCCUCGGUGUGCUGGCAUCUGGGGGUGGGACCUUUGGGAGUGAUGAGGUCAGAGGGCACAGCCCUUGUUAGUGGGAUUGGUGCCCUUACGAGCAAGACCCUAGAGCACUCCCUCAUCCCUUUCCGCCCCAGGAGGACCCAAUGAAAAGACAGUUUAUGAACCAGGGAAUGGAGCAGACACCAAAUCUACAGGCGCCUUGAUCUUAGACGUCUCAGCCUCCAGAACUGUGAGAAAUAAAUUUUCUGUUCUUAUAAGCCACCUAGUUUACAGUAUUCUGUCAUAGGAGCGCAAACAGAAUAACGGAAUCACAGAGGUGAAGCAGCUCUGAGAAAUCAUGAGACAGCACCACAGCCGUGUCUGUGAUGUGACUGACAGGAGGCCAAGAUAAAGGUGCUGAACAGUGAAGAGUCUGACGAACUGUGAGUCCAGGUGUGGGGGACAUGAUUAGCCAUGAUGUUGGAAAGUCUUCCAGAAUAGGAGCAGAGAAAAAGACCAGGCACGAGGCUCUAGAAUCAUCCAGGAAGAUGAGAUAGGGUUCCAGAGGCCAAAGAGAAUGGGGAAAGGGUGGAAUAUGCAGACCAUGAAGGCUGCCUAAGUAAGGGCAGUCGUAAUUGCAAAACAGAGGUGGAAGGAGAGCUUGAAAGGGGUGGCGGGAAGCUGGGCCCUCUCAGGUUUCCCAAAGAGAUACCGGCAAAAUGGCCAUAGAGAGGACCGAGGAAUCACAGACAGGGAGAAGGUAGAGUUUCUCAGGACACAGAGUUUGAGAUUAGAGGCUCUAACUAGGAGAGCAUGGGGAAAGGUGCCACUGAGCCCAAGAGGAAGGAGAAUAUGGCUGGAGGUGCCGGGGGCUGAGGUUUGAGG